rnacentral:rRNA from 1 species
AGGGUUUGAUUCUGGCUCAGGUUGAACGCUGGCGGCAUGCCUAACACAUGCAAGUCGAACGGUAACAGGUCUUCGGAUGCUGACGAGUGGCGGACGGGUGGGUAAUGCGUAGGAAUCUGUCUUUUAGUGGGGGACAACCCAGGGAAACUUGGGCUAAUACCGCAUGAGCCCUGAGGGGGAAAGCGGGGGAUCUUCGGACCUCGCGCUAAGAGAAGAGCCUACGUCUGAUUAGCUAGUUAGUAGGGUAAAGGCCUACCAAGGCGACGAUCAGUAGCUGGUCUGAGAGGACGACCAGCCACACUGGGACUGAGACACGGCCCAGACUCCUACGGGAGGCAGCAGUGGGGAAUUUUUCGCAAUGGGGGCAACCCUGACGAAGCAAUGCCGCGUGGAUGAAGAAGGCCUUCGGGUUGUAAAGUCCUUUCGUGGGGGACGAAAAGGANGUUCCUAAUCGAG